rnacentral:rRNA from 1 species
UGUAUUUAUUAGAUAAAAAACCAAUGCCCUUCGGGGCUUUUUGGUGAUUCAUGAUAACUUUACGGAUCGCAUAGCCUUGCGCUGGCGACGGUUCAUUCAAAUUUCUGCCCUAUCAACUUUCGAUGGUAAGGUAUUGGCUUACCAUGGUUUCAACGGGUAACGGGGAAUUAGGGUUCGAUUCCGGAGAGGGAGCCUGAGAAACGGCUACCACAUCCAAGGAAGGCAGCAGGCGCGCAAAUUACCCAAUCCCGACACGGGGAGGUAGUGACAAUAAAUACUGAUACAGGGCUCUUUUGGGUCUUGUAAUUGGAAUGAGUACAAUUUAAACCUCUUAACGAGGAACAAUUGGAGGGCAAGUCUGGUGCCAGCAGCCGCGGUAAUUCCAGCUCCAAUAGCGUAUAUUAAAGUUGUUGCAGUUAAAAAGCUCGUAGUUGAACUUCAGGCCUGGCUGGGCGGUCCGCCUCACGGCGUGUACUGUCUGGCUGGGUCUUACCUCUUGGUGAGCCGGCGUGCCCUUUAUUGGUGUGCGUCGGGGAACCAGG